rnacentral:lncRNA from 7 species
GUGUGAUUUCGUAGAUAAUGCGUGAUUUUCAGGUUACAUGGGAGAUUUUUGAAGAGAAAAUGUGAUAUUCGAUGAUCGGGUUCUUGAAGGAAAAUGCAUCUUUUGGUUAAUGGGGUUCUCGAAGAGAAAUUGCAUUUUACUGGUUAAAUGGGGGAUUUUGAAGAGGAAAUGCAUGAGUUUUCGUUUACAUGUGAGAUUUUUGUAGAGGAAACGCGUGAUUUUUUGGAUACAUGGGGGGAUUUCUUGUAGCAAAAAUGGUUUGGAUUUUGGGGUCAAAUGGGGGAUUAUUGAAGAGCAAAAGUGUGAUUUCCGAGUUAAAUGGGGGAUUUCCUAGAGAAGAUGUGUGAUUUGGGGGAUAAUGGGGUAUUUUUGAGAGAUAAGCAUGAUUUUGGGGUAAAUGGGGGAUUUUCCAAGAGAAAAUGUGUGAUUUGGGAGAUAAUGCGUGAUUUUCAGGUUACAUGGGAGAUUUUUGAAGAGAAAAUGUGUGAUAUUCGGGAUGAAUCAGGGAUUCUUGAAGAGAAAAUGCAUCAUUUUCGGGUUCAAUGGGGGAUUCUCGAAGAGAGAAUUGCAUUUUCUACUGGUUAAAUGGGGGAUUUUUGAAGAGGAAAUGCAUGAGUUUCGUUUACAUGUGAGAUUUUUGUAGAGGAAACGCGUGAUUUUUUGGAUACAUGGGGGAUUCUUGUAGCAAAAAUGUUUGAUUUUGGGGUCAAAUGGGGAUAUUUGAAGAGCAAAAGUGUGAUUUCCGAGUUAAAUGGGGGAUUUUCCUAGAGAAGAUGUGUGAUUUGGGGGAUAAUGGGGUAUUUUUGAAGAGAUAAAGCAUGAUUUUGGGGUAAAUGGGGGAUUUUCCAAGAGAAAAUGUGUGAUUUGGGGGUUAAAAGGGGGAUUUCUGAGGAGAAAAUGUGUGCUUUUGGGGUAAUGGGGUAUUUUGAGAGAAAAUGCAUGAUUUGGGGUAAAUGCGUAUUUUCCAAGAGAAAAGGUGAGGUUUUUGAGUUAAAUGGGGGGUUUUCCAAGAGAAAAUGCGUGAUUUUGGGGUUAAACGGGGGAUUGUUGAAGAGAAAACGCACAAUUUUUGGUUUAACAGCAAGUUUUGUAGAGAAUAUG